rnacentral:rRNA from 1 species
UACGUAGGCGGAUUGAUAAGUUGGAUGUGAAAUCUUUGGGCUCAACUCAAAAACUGCGUCCAAAACUGUCAGUCUAGAGUUUGGGAUAGGAAAACGGAAUUCCUGGUGUAGGAGUGAAAUCUAUAGAUAUCAGGAAGAACACCGAUGGCGAAGGCAGUUUUCUGGUUCAAAACUGACGCUGAUGUACGAAAGCUAGGGGAGCGAACG